AAGAGUAUUUGAUCUUUCGAGAUCGAUUACCCGUCCUUGUGUCAUUUGAUUUUAAAAAACUCACACUUCCCAGGAGGUGUCGCAGCGAUGUGACCGCCUGGGGUUUUUUUUAUAAACUCUUGCAAGAAUUUUGAAGUCUGAUAAACAAAUACAAAAUGAAAAGCA
rnacentral:misc_RNA from 1 species